rnacentral:sRNA from 19 species
AAUGUCAACGGUACCGGACUGAGCUUGCGAGGGAGGAUAAGGAGUUGACAUUUUGCUGUC